rnacentral:lncRNA from 1 species
UUCAAGAACAACUAAGAGGAUGUUAAAGGACAGCAGAGGGAGCCCCUGCAUGACUUAAGAAAACCGAAGGCAGGCAGAACAGAGACUUUUCAGGGUGCGAAGUUACGCAUGGUGCCCUCUACUGGAGUCACUGGUAAAGAGUUUUGAUUUCAAAAAGAAAUUGACGUAGAAUUUGUUCUUGUUCCAUUGUAUUGGUGAAGAAACUGAAGUUCAAAGUAAUUGGCAGAACAUACUACUUUGGGCAGUAUGGGAGUAGAGGCCUAUGGACGACCAGCAACAGAUUCUUAACAUUUGAGUCCAUUGAUAUAUUCGAAGCUCUACCCUUCUGGAAAAUAUCAUAAGAUUUGAAAAAUAUAGCUGCAAAGAGCAAAAGAAGAUUUGCGUCUCAAUAGAAAAGAUCUACAGAUUGAAUAUUGCAUAGAAAACAAUUUAUUCACCUUACAAAGAUAAAAGGAUGAAAACGCCCUGAGCAGUAAUAAAACUUCGCCAUUUUGGGGAGGGCCUCAAGAGGCUAUCUUAUCAAUCUUGGUCGUUGGAAAAGUAUCUGUAAUCUCAAAGAAAACUUUAAAUACUGUCCAAGGAAAAUAUCCAAAUACAUCUUAAAAUGCCA